rnacentral:rRNA from 1 species
GACGAACGCUGGCGGCGUGCUUAACACAUGCAAGUCGAACGGUGAACUCCGCUUGCGGGGGGAUCAGUGGCGAACGGGUGAGUAACACGUGGGCAACCUGCCCUCAGCUCUGGGAUAACUCCAAGAAAUUGGGGCUAAUACCGGAUAUGACCGCUGACCGCAUGGUCUGGUGGUGGAAAGAUUUAUCGGCUGGGGAUGGGCCCGCGGCCUAUCAGCUUGUUGGUGGGGUAGUGGCCUACCAAGGCGACGACGGGUAGCCGGCCUGAGAGGGUGACCGGCCACACUGGGACUGAGACACGGCCCAGACUCCUACGGGAGGCAGCAGUGGGGAAUAUUGCGCAAUGGGCGAAACCCUGACGCAGCGACGCCGCGUGGGGGAUGACGGCCUUCGGGUUGUAAACCUCUUUCAGCAGGGACGAAGCGAAAGUGACGGUACCUGCAGAAGAAGCACCGGCCAACUACGUG